GGGGAAUAUUGCACAAUGGGGGAAACCCUGAUGCAGCGACGCCGCGUGGAGGAAGAAGGUCUUCGGAUUGUAAACUCCUGUUGUUGAGGAAGAUAAUGACGGUACUCAACAAGGAAGUGACGGCUAACUACGUGCCAGCAGCCGCGGUAAAACGUAGGUCACAAGCGUUGUCCGGAAUUACUGGGUGUAAAGGGAGCGCAGGCGGGAAGACAAGUUGGAAGUGAAAUCUAUGGGCUCAACCCAUAAACUGCUUUCAAAACUGUUUUUCUUGAGUAGUGCAGAGGUAGGCGGAAUUCCCGGUGUAGCGGUGGAAUGCGUAGAUAUCGGGAGGAACACCAGUGGCGAAGGCGGCCUACUGGGCACCAACUGACGCUGAGGCUCGAAAGUGUGGGUAGCAAACAGGAUUAGAUACCCUGGUAGUCCACACCGUAAACGAUGAUUACUAGGUGUUGGAGGAUUGACCCCUUCAGUGCCGCAGUUAACACAAUAAGUAAUCCACCUGGGGAGUACGACCGCAAGGUUGAAACUCAAAGGAAUUGACGGGGGCCCGCACAAGCAGUGGAGUAUGUGGUUUAAUUCGACGCAACGCGAAGAACCUUACCAAGUCUUGACAUCCCUUGACGAUGCUGGAAACAGUAUUUUCCUUCGGGACGCAGAGACAGGUGGUGCAUGGUUGUCGUCAGCUCGUGUCGUGAGAUGUUGGGUUAAGUCCCGCAACGAGCGCAACCCUUACUGUCAGUUACUACGCAAGAGGACUCUGGCAGGACUGCCGUUGACAAAACGGAGGAAGGUGGGGAUGACGUCAAAUCAUCAUGCCCUUUAUGACUUGGGCUACACACGUACUACAAUGGCGUUAAACAAAGAGAAGCAAGACCGCGAGGUGGAGCAAAACUCAGAAACAACGUCCCAGUUCGGACUGCAGGCUGCAACUCGCCUGCACGAAGUCGGAAUUGCUAGUAAUCGUGGAUCAGCAUGCCACGGUGAAUACGUUCCCG
rnacentral:rRNA from 1 species